rnacentral:rRNA from 1 species
AUGAACGCUGGCGGCAGGCCUAACACAUGCAAGUCGAACGGUAACAGGAANCAAGCUUGCUNCUUNGCUGACGAGUGGCGGACGGGUGAGUAAUGUCUGGGAAACUGCCUGAUGGAGGGGGAUAACUACUGGAAACGGUAGCUAAUACCGCAUAACGUCGCAAGACCAAAGAGGGGGACCUUCGGGCCUCUUGCCAUCGGAUGUGCCCAGAUGGGAUUAGCUAGUUGGUGGGGUAAAGGCCUACCAAGGCGACGAUCUGUAGCGGGUCUGAGAGGAUGAUCCGCCACACUGGGACUGAGACACGGCCCAGACUCCUACGGGAGGCAGCAGUGGGGAAUAUUGGACAAUGGGCGGAAGCCUGAUCCAGCCAUGCCGCGUGUGUGAAGAAGGCCUUUUGGUUGUAAAGCACUUUAANCGAGGAGGAGGCUCUCCUAGUUAAUACCUAGGAAGAGUGGACGUUACUCGCAGAAUAAGCACCGGCUAACUCUGUGCCAGCAGCCGCGGUAAUACAGAGGGUGCGAGCGUUAAUCGGAUUUACUGGGCGUAAAGCGUGCGUAGGCGGCUGAUUAAGUCGGAUGUGAAAUCCCUGAGCUUAACUUAGGAAUUGCAUUCGAUACUGGNCAGCNUAGAGUAUGGGAGAGGAUGGUAAAAAUUUCCAGGUUGUAGCGGGUGAAAAUNGCNGUNGAGGAUCUGGGAGGAAAUACCGGAUUGGGGNAAGGGCAGNCCAUUCUUGGCCCUAGANACUGGACGCUUGAAGGUACAAAAGGCAAUGGGGAAGCAAAACAGGGAUUAAGGANACGCCUGGGUNAGUNCCAUGGCNGGNAAACGAUGNCUACUAAGNCCGUNGGAGGCCNUUUGAAGGCNUUNAGNGGGCCCAGCNUAACGCAAUUAAGUNAACCGCCUGGGGGAGNACCGGUCCCGAAGGACUAAAACUUCGAUUGAAUUGNCGGGGGGCNCCGCACAAACNGGGGNAGCAUGNGGUUNAAUUCNAUGCGNCGNGAAGAAACCUAACNUGGGCCUNGGAGNNANNANGAANCUUNCAGANGAGAGGAUNGA